GAUGAACGCUGGCGGCGUGCCUAAUACAUGCAAGUCGAGCGAACAGAUAAGGAGCUUGCUCCUUUGACGUUAGCGGCGGACGGGUGAGUAACACGUGGGUAACCUACCUAUAAGACUGGGAUAACUUCGGGAAACCGGAGCUAAUACCGGAUAACAUUUGGAACCGCAUGGUUCUAAAGUGAAAGAUGGUUUUGCUAUCACUUAUAGAUGGACCCGCGCCGUAUUAGCUAGUUGGUAAGGUAACGGCUUACCAAGGCGACGAUACGUAGCCGACCUGAGAGGGUGAUCGGCCACACUGGAACUGAGACACGGUCCAGACUCCUACGGGAGGCAGCAGUAGGGAAUCUUGCGCAAUGGGCGAAAGCCUGACGGAGCAACGCCGCGUGAGUGAUGAAGGGUUUCGGAUCGUAAAACUCUGUUAUUAGGGAAGAACAAACGUGUAAGUAACUGUGCACGUCUUGACGGUACCUAAUCAGAAAGCCACGGCUAACUACGUG
rnacentral:rRNA from 1 species